ACUUGUGAGCAGAAGGUUUAAGAGGCAGCACCUGGUUCACUCUGUCUUUUUCCCUUCGCUAUGAGACUGGCAAGGUUCCAGAUAGCAACUGUUCUAGCAGCCAGGGUCCUGGAGAGAAGUCAACAUGAAGCAGAGCCACAGAUACGCCACAGAUAAGCUUAUGUAAUGAAGUGAUGAAUGCAACUACUUCCUUCUGCAUAUUGCCAUUCAAGGAGCCAUGGGUAGAACAAGAAGAGUAGUACCAUCCAUGCAAGGAACGAUCAUCACUCCUGAAGUGUGGUUUAAGAGUAACCUGGAAAAGCACAGUAUCACCCUUUCAAUAAAAGGCAAGAACGGACACCAAUGGGAAGAGCCCAUAGCCUUGCAGAACAAUAAUCUGAGAAGUCCUUAAGUCAUUUCAGGAAAUGGUUGCAGCCUGCUGGGGGACUGCCUGAUAUGUAGUGAGGCUCCUGUGAAAGAGAUGGAAUGGCCAAUUUCAGUGUCAGUGAAAUGGGUAGGCACACAGUGAAAUGUAGUGGGUACACAGGAUAAAAGAUGCCUGCUGUCACUCACCUCUGCUGCCCUCAGGAACUAUAGACCAGAGGUGGCAACACAGUGGGAACACUGACAAGUCCAUACAUGUGGCUUGAACUCAAGGUUUGACGAUGUCCUCAAGAGCUCUAAAAUUGUCUCAGGUCCCAUGUAAGUGAGAAUUUUCCUAAACAUCGUUAUCACCAAGGUCAUCGUUAUUCUGGUGGUCUAAUCUUGCUUCUUCCUGUGAAAGAAAUAUUGCAUUUGCCUGAAGAGGAGAACUCUUGCCAGUGCCAAGCCAUACAGCUCUGAGAUAACCCUAUAGAAUCAUAUUCCAGGGAUCUGGAACCUAUGUAUGGUGUAGAAAAUAGGAGAGCGUACCUAAGGGUUUUGAAAAACUGAGAUGGGUUCCCAUGUUGGAUCUGGGGCUAAUUUAGGAGCAGAUAUGACCUUGGAUUUCUUUGCCUGAAGAGC
rnacentral:lncRNA from 1 species